GUUACUUUGGCAGAUUAGUGCAAUUGAUUUAGAAUCAUUUUAUGUAAUUUUUUACAGGUAAUA
rnacentral:tRNA from 1 species